AUUGAACGCUGGCGGCAGGCCUAACACAUGCAAGUCGAACGAGCGGCGGACGGGUGAGUAAUGUCUGGGAAUCUGCCCGAUGGAGGGGGAUAACUACUGGAAACGGUAGCUAAUACCGCAUACCAUCGGAUGUACCCAGAUGGGAUUAGCUAGUAGGUGAGGUAAUGGCUCACCUAGGCGACGAUCCCUAGCUGGUCUGAGAGGAUGACCAGCCACACUGGAACUGAGACACGCGCCAGACUCCUACGGGAGGCAGCAGUGGGGAAUAUUGCACAAUGGGCGCAAGCCUGAUACAGCCAUGCCGCGUGUAUGAAGAAGGCCAUCGGGUUGUAAAGUACUUUCAGCGGGGAGGCGUUACCCUCAGAAGAAGCACCGGCUAACUCCGUGCCAGCAGCCGCGGUAAUAC
rnacentral:rRNA from 1 species